UACGGGGGGGGCAAGCGUUGUUCGGAAUUACUGGGCGUAAAGGGCUCGUAGGCGGCCCUCUCAGUCGGAUGUGAAAUCCCCAGGCUUAACCUGGGAACGGCAUCCGAUACUGGAGGGCUUGAAUUCGGGAGAGGGAUGCAGAAUUCCAGGUGUAGCGGUGAAAUGCGUAGAUAUCGGGAGGAACACCAGUGGCGAAGGCGACUACCUGGCCUGUUCUUGACGCUGAGGCGCGAAAGCUAGGGGAGCAAACGGG
rnacentral:rRNA from 1 species